rnacentral:sRNA from 1 species
CUGGUUUUUAUUCUCCUGGAUAUGGAGAAAACAAGUUUACUGUCACUAGUAGAAAUAUUGCAGUACCUCUUUGUGAAAUGAACAAGAUUUAUUCCUAUUAUUCUGAUUCCUCCAGCAGUGAAAGGACUAUGGAUCUGGUUUUGGAAAUGUGCAAUACCAAUUCCAUCCACUGGUGUGGAAUUUCAGGAAGACAGCUGGGAAAGCUGCAUCCAAGUUCUUCGCUCUGUCUUGCCCUUACUCUGCUUUCUUCAGUACAGGGACUGCAAAGCAUCUCUGGCUUAAGACUAACAGACACAUUCUUAAAGAGAACAUAUGAAUAUGAUGACAUCGCACAAGUCUGUGUGGUAUCUUCUGCCAUUAAAGUGGAAAGCUGAAGGAAACUUCCAGUGUUAGGCUUUUCAUUUAGUUUCACAGAACUGCUCUUUUUGUUACCUUUGUAAAAUGAUGACAUCAACAACGAAGUAAAUAUGUUACUUAAAUUUUCUUUCCUGUAAAAUGGUUAAAAUAUUAAAUAUUUGUUUUGAAGAGA